GGGAGGUAAAUUUCUUCUAAGCUAAAUACUGGCCAGAGACCGAUAGCGCACAAGUAGAGUGAUCGAAAGAUGAAAAGCACUUUGGAAAGAGAGUCAAAAAGCACGUGAAAUUGUUGAAAGGGAAGCGCUUGCAGCCAGACUUGCCUGCGGUUGCUCAUCCGGGCUCUCGCCCGGUGCACUCUUCCGUAGGCAGGCCAGCAUCAGUUUGGGCGGCUGGAUAAAGGCCUCUGUCAUGUACCUUCCCUCGGGAAGGCCUUAUAGGGGAGGCGUAAUGCAGCCAGCCUGGACUGAGGUCCGCGCAUUUGCUAGGAUGCUGGCGUAAUGGCUGUAAGCGGCCCGUCUUGAAACACGGAC
rnacentral:sRNA from 1 species